rnacentral:rRNA from 1 species
ACGGGAGGCAGCAGUGGGGAAUAUUGCACAAUGGGCGAAAGCCUGAUGCAGCCAUGCCGCGUGGGUGAAGAAGGCCUUAGGGUUGUAAACCCCUUUCAGCGGGGAAGAUAAUGACGGUACCCGCAGAAGAAGUCCCGGCUAACUCCGUGCCAGCAGCCGCGGUAAUACGGAGGGGACUAGCGUUGUUCGGAAUUACUGGGCGUAAAGCGCGCGUAGGCGGAUUUGCAAGUCGGGGGUGAAAGCCCGAGGCUCAACCUCGGAACUGCCUUCGAUACUGCAAAUCUCGAGUCCGAGAGAGGUGAGUGGAAUUCCUAGUGUAGAGGUGAAAUUCGUAGAUAUUAGGAAGAACACCAGUGGCGAAGGCGGCUCACUGGCUCGGUACUGACGCUGAGGCGCGAAAGCGUGGGGAGCAAACAGGAUUAGAUACCCUGGUA